rnacentral:rRNA from 1 species
UACGAAGGGGGCUAGCGUUGCUCGGAAUCACUGGGCGUAAAGCGCACGUAGGCGGCUUUUUAAGUCAGGGGUGAAAUCCUGGAGCUCAACUCCAGAACUGCCUUUGAUACUGGGAAGCUUGAGUCCGGGAGAGGUGAGUGGAACUCCGAGUGUAGAGGUGAAAUUCGUAGAUAUUCGGAAGAACACCAAUGGCGAAAGCAGCUCUCUGGGACGGUACUGACGCUGAGACGCGAAAGCGUGGGGAGCGAACAGG